rnacentral:lncRNA from 10 species
CCUCUUCCCAGCCCUUCCGUGGAGUCCCGCUUCCCCUGGACCGGAGGCUGCCAUCUCCAGUCCUACCCACUCCGACGCUGGCUGGUGCCGGGGGCCGGGACGCUCCGUACGCCGCCCGCCAGGGUGUGGAGCCGCACUGGGGCAAGAUCAGGUGGGACAGCCCAAAGACUCCGGGCCAAGUUCCUGGGGGACUCGGCGGAGAUGGAAGAUGAUUCUCGAAGCUCUCCAUUUCCUUAAUUUUGAGUUAUCUUCAGUCCUUCUUCAAUGCUGUGACUGAGUGCUUGCUGAUUAUUGUGCUUGCUGAUCCUGACUAAUACUCUCUCUUGAUGAGCUUCAUAUUCAUCACGACUUGGAUAAAUUUUGCUGAUGAGUGCAUCAAACUUUGGGUCUGGCCUUGGUGAUCUUUUGGAAACUAGUUUUUUCCAACAGGUAAGACAUUCUUUGUUGCCACUUCUAAGGGCUAUGAUGUUGCAGUCUGCACAGAAACGAUGUAAAGACUCCUUUGUAGUCAUGGUGUUCUUCAACAUAUCCAAACAAAUUGGGCACAUUAAAUCACUGUGCAGACUUCGAGGUGAAACCACAAUUUCUAAGCCAUCUGUUAUUGCCUUCUGUAAGAGAGUCACUGAGGUGUUCAUUGUAACUCAUAUAAACUGAGUUCCCAUGUUUUGCUUAAUGGUUGAGUUCCUUUUGUCUGCACAGCCUGAGACAUUGAGGCUCCCACCCCAGCCAGGGGCUCACUGGCCAUGCAGGAGCGAGACUCGGGUAAUCGGCUGCCGCGGCAGCUGGCACCGCCUUACAAUAUAGCGAGCCGCAAAGAGCAUUUUAACACAAGCCUCCAGGGUUCCCGGACACCCCACUCUGUCCCCACGGAUACCAAAAUCUGCGCGUAUCCGCGCAUGUUCAAGUCCCUAAUAUAUUCUGGUGCAUAUACUAUGGUGUCAAAUUUGUAUGUAACCUAUGUACAUCCUUCCAAAUAUUCUAAAUCUCUAGGUUAUUUAUAAUACCUUAAUACAAUGUAAGUGCUAUUUAAAUGGU